rnacentral:rRNA from 1 species
UACCAGCACCCCGAGUGGUCGGGACGUUUUAUUGGGCCUAAAGCAUCCGUAGCCGGUUCUACAAGUCUUCCGUUAAAUCCACCUGCUUAACAGAUGGGCUGCGGAAGAUACUAUAGAGCUAGGAGGCGGGAGAGGCAAGCGGUACUCGAUGGGUAGGGGUAAAAUCCGUUGAUCCAUUGAAGACCACCAGUGGCGAAGGCGGCUUGCCAGAAUGCGCUCGACGGUGAGGGAUGAAAGCUGGGGGAGCAAACCGGG